GCUUGAGAAGCGAAUAACUCGCGCUAAGUUUCGGCCUUAGUUUUGGGUGUGACCCCUCAAGUU
rnacentral:tRNA from 1 species